rnacentral:lncRNA from 10 species
UAUUUCUUCAUUUUAUAGAUCAUAGAAGAACUCUAAACACACGACCUUUCCCCAAAUAUGGCCCAAGCUUCUACUUUGGGGAGAUUAAGAUUUAUCUAGAAGAAAUGCAUAUGCAAAGACCAAGAAAGAAGAAAUAUUCAACUUCUGACAUUCGGAAAAUAAGAUACUGCAUCAAAACAAGAGCUCUGCAAAUCAAAUUAUGUUGAGAACAGAUUGCAUAAAACUUUUACCCCUUUAUCCUCUCUUUCCCAUCUCUGCCGAGCUAAAUUUUAUUAGUUAUACAUAAAGACGACCUAGGAGAAAGAAGAAGAGCAUUCUGCCCAUUUUUGAUAUUAGAAUAGUUGUGAGGAAAAUAAAAGAGAAGAAAGGAAAGAAACAUAAGUAGACACGUGUCAACUCUCCACUUCUCAACAGUCCCACCCUACUCACCGGAGCUCCAUUUUCCAUUGGAGAGUCUUAGGCUACCCCUAACACUGGGGGUGGAGUCACAUCAAUGUAAACCACAAUGUGGUCAGGCAGAGGAGAUACAGAGUUUUAGCAUUCCUGAACAGUGCCAGAUUACUGUGCAGGGUAGAACCAACCCAGAUCUAACUAAAAAUCUUGCCAGGAAGCUUCUCAGAGGGAAAUCACUGCCAUAAAUUGAGGUAGCUUUAGAAUAAGGUUUGCAAGGUGGAAUGUUCAGGCCAAUACCAAAUGGGAGUCACAGCCAGAUGUUCAAGGUUUCUAUGGUCCCGCAACAGCCAAAGACAGGCUUGGAAUCAGCCAGGGGGUACUCAAUGAGAGAAAUGAAGAAGAACUGACCAUGAGUUCAUCACUUGCAACCAUGAGCACUGGAGGUCAAUACGGCAUUCAGCAACUAGGAGAACAAGAAACGAUGCCCCAGAGAGAAGGGUGAGGAACAGUGAGCACAAGGUCAAUACUCUGCACUCCACACCUCUGUCCUGCCCACUAUCCCACAUACCUCCCCAUCUUGGAGAAGAGCUACAAAAAAGCAUGAGAUAACUGAGAGAUGAGCAACAUUCCCUAGAGAGAAGAAUUAUUACCUGAAGAGAUUAUGUAAAUUAUAGACUCAGUCUACUUUUAAUCCAGACUGAUUUAACAGUGACUUUUUUUCCCUAGGAAGCAAUGAAUAAAUGAGCCUUAUUAGAAAGUCCAGAUCAAUUAUACACAAAAUAAUACACUUUUCUCUGUGCAUCUAAAUUGUAACCUAAGUGAAUUUUGUGACCCCAUGAAACAUUUUCCUCUAAUUCUAUCAAAACUUCCACUAAGAUACUCCAUAUGGUAUCACUUCUAAGUCUUUGCUUAUGUCCUCCAUGCAAUGUACUUAAGUAAACUCUACCAUCCCUUAAAGUUCAGCAAAAAUGCCACAUUCACCACAACGCCUUCUCUAUUUUUACCUUAUUCAUCUCUCUCUUCAUUGACCUCCCUGGACAAAGAUAAUUUUAAGCUAGCCUGGACUCCUGGGAUGACAAAGAUCCCUAAAAAACAAAACAAACAUUGAGGAGUUUCCCAGAGGCAGAGCAGUUUGCUUAGCUCCCGGUGGAUGUGGAAGCUCUUGGAGCCUACCCAGGCCUCUCGGAAGCCCUGCUGUCAAUGGGAACAGUGCUGCUGUCACAGCCCUACGCCAGACUCCUCUCAACACAAGUGCUUAGAUUUCAGCUAGAACCCAUGACCUGGAGAAAGCAAGCAGUCAAACACCCAGUAAAUGCCAUGUCUACAGCACUUGUCUUUCACCACAACGGUGGUAAGAAACUACUACAACUAAAUACAAAACACUUCUUGCCCCCAGGGAAACUAUUCCUCUCAGCUAAAAAUAAACAAAAUAACCC